rnacentral:tRNA from 1 species
AGAUGACUAGUCCAAUGAAAGAUUACUGAUUUCGGCUCAGUAGAACGUGGUUCAACUCCACGGUCGUCUU